rnacentral:rRNA from 1 species
AGUGAACGCUGGCGGUAGGCCUAACACAUGCAAGUCGAACGGCAGCACAGUAAGAGCUUGCUCUUACGGGUGGCGAGUGGCGGACGGGUGAGGAAUACAUCGGAAUCUACUUUUUCGUGGGGGCUAACGUAGGGAAACUUACGCUAAUACCGCAUACGACCUACGGGUGAAAUCAGGGGAGCUUCGGACCUUGCGCGAUUGAAUGAGCCGAUGUCGGAUUAGCUAGUUGGCAGGGUAAAGGCCCACCAAGGCGACGAUCCGUAGCUGGUCUGAGAGGAUGAUCAGCCACACUGGAACUGAGACACGGCCCAGACUCCUACGGGAGGCAGCAGUGGGGAAUAUUGGACAAAGGGCGCAAGCCUGAUCCAGCCAUACCGCGUGGGUGAAGAAGGCCUUCGGGUUGUAAAGCCCUUUUGUUGGGAAAGAAAAGCAGCAGGUUAAUACCCCGCUGUUCUGACGGUACCCAACGAAUAAGCACCGGCUAACUUCGUG